rnacentral:rRNA from 1 species
AGCAGUCGCCGCGGGAAUACGUAGGUGGCAAGCGUUGUCCGGAAUUAUUGGGCGUAAAGGGCUCGCAGGCGGUUUCUUAAGUCUAAUGUGAAAGCCCCCGGCUCAACCGGGGAGGGUCAUUGGAAACUGGGAAACUUGAGUGCAGAAGAGGAGAGUGGAAUUCCACGUGUAGCGGUGAAAUGCGUAGAGAUGUGGAGGAACACCAGUGGCGAAGGCGACUCUCUGGUCUGUAACUGACGCUGAGGAGCGAAAGCGUGGGGAGCGAACAGGAUUAGAUACCCCUGUAGUCCCUGUCUCUUAUAC